UUAGCCAUGCAUGUCUCAGUACAUGCCGCACUAAGGUGAAACCGCAAAAGGCUCAUUAAAUCAGUUAUGGUUCCUUGGAUCUUAAACAGUUACUUGGAUAACUGUGGUAAUUCUAGAGCUAAUACAUGCAAACAAGUCCCGACCAGAGAUGGGAGGGACGCUUUUAUUAGAUCAAAACCGAUCGGCGUCCGGCUCCGGCCGGCGCCGUCUCUUUUGGUGACUCUGGAUAACUUUUAGCCGAUCGCACGGUCACAGUACCGGCGACGCAUCUUUCAAAUGUCUGACUUAUCAACUGUCGAUGGUAGGCUCUGCGCCUACCAUGGUUGUAACGGGUAACGGGGAAUCAGGGUUCGAUUCCGGAGAGGGAGCCUGAGAAACGGCUACCACAUCCAAGGAAGGCAGCAGGCGCGCAAAUUACCCACUCCCGGCACGGGGAGGUAGUGACGAAAAAUAACGAUACGGGACUCAUCCGAGGCCCCGUAAUCGGAAUGAGUACACUUUAAAUACUUUAACGAGUACCAAUUGGAGGGCAAGUCUGGUGCCAGCAGCCGCGGUAAUUCCAGCUCCAAUAGCGUAUAUUAAAGUUGUUGCGGUUAAAAAGCUCGUAGUUGGAUCUGUGUGCCACGCUGUCGGUUCACCGCCCGUCGGUGUCAACUGGCAUGUCUGUGGGACGUCCUGCCGGUGGCGGUACGGGCUGCCGGCGCUGCGUAGGGGCACAACCCCGAAGCACGCCGGCGUGUCCCGGUCCGCCGAUCCAAUCCCGCCGCGGUGCUCUUCACUGAGUGUCGAGGUGGGCCGGCACGUUUACUUUGAACAAAUUAGAGUGCUCAAAUCAGCUCGUAUUUAGGCCUGAAUACUGUGU
rnacentral:rRNA from 1 species